AGUGGACGGACCGUCCCGUCUUGUAACACGGACCAAGGAGUCCAACAUGCGUGCGAGUAGGAGGGUGAACACCCCACUGCGCAACGAAAGUGAACCUGUCAGCCAGGGCCGCGUCGAGCGAGCUCAGCAGGCAUGUUGGGACCCGAAAGAUGGUGAACUAUGCUUGGGAAUGGCGAAGCCAGGGGAAACUCUGGUGGAGGCUUGUAGAGAUACUGACGUGCAAAUCGUUCUUCUAACCUGAGUAUAGGGGCGAAAGACUAAUCGAACCAUCUAGUAGCUGGUUCCCUCCGAAAUUUCCCUCAGGAUAGCUGGCGCCAUGCAGUUGUGCCGGGUAAAGCGAAUGACUAGAGGCAGGGAGUUGUAACAACUUUCACCUAUUCUCAAACUUUGAAUCGGCACGGAAGGGGAGUUGCUUCGCUGAACUCCUCUGCGAAUGUAGGCGCCAAGUGGGCCAUUUUUGGUAAGCAGAACUGGCGACGAGGGCUGAACCUAAGGCGAGGUUAAGGCGACUAAUUGGCCGCUCAUCAGACCCCAGAAAAGGCGUUAGUUCAUUUAGACAGUAGGACGGUGGCCAUGGAAGUCGGAACCCGCUAAGGAGUGUGUAACAACUCACCUACCGAAUGGACUAGCCCUGAAAAUGGAUGUCGCUAAGCAGCCAGCCGAUACCUCGCUGUGCGUCUUGUCUGGACGCACAGGUAGGAGGGCGUGAGGGCCGCGGCGAAGUGCGCGUGAGAACGCGUGUGGAGCGACCUUCAGUGCAGAUCUUGGUGGUAGUAGCAAGUAUUCAAAUGAGAACUUUGAAGACUGAAGUGGAGCAGGGUUUCAUGUGAACAGCACUUGGACAUGAGUAACUCGGUCCUGAGGCCAGGGGGAGUCCCGCGAAGACACUGUCCAGGCCGAAAGGGAAUGCGGUUAACAUUCCGCAAGCAGGCGUUGGGUGCUGAGUGGCAACACAAAUGAACUCAAAGACGUCGGGGCGAGGUCCCAGGGAGAGUUCUCUUUUCUUCUUAACAAGUCGCUGCCUUGGAGGUCUUUGCGACGAGAGAAGGCUACAGACUUGGAAGAGCAGCACACCCUGAGUGCUGUCUGGUGCGCCUCCCACGGCCCUUGAAAAUUUGAGGGAACAACUGCACGCCUGACCGUACCGAAACCGCAGCAGGUCUCCGAGGUUAGCAGCCUCUAGUCCGUAGAACAAUGUAGAUAAGGGAAUUCGGCAAACUGGAUCUGUAACUUUGGGAAAAAGAUUGGCUCUGAGGGCUAGGUCUAAGGCCCUGCUUCGUGGCGUGGAGUUCUGCGAACUGUUGGCAACUUCGGUGAGUGGAAUGAAGCGACACAGGUGGUAAGCCGAAGACAGCGAAUAGCCGCCUCAGAACUGGAGCAGCGAGGGGAAUCCGACUGUUUAAUUAAAACACAGCAUUGUGAGGGCCUGAAAAGGUGUUGACACAAUGUGAUUUCUGCCCAGUGCUCUGAAUGUCAACGUGAAGAAAUUCAAACAAGCGCGGGUAAACGGCGGGAGUAACUAUGACUCUCUUAAGGUAGCCAAAUGCCUCGUCAUCUAAUUAGUGACGUGCAUGAAUGGAUUAACGAGAUUCCUACUGUCCCUAUCUACUAUCUAGCGAACCCACAGCCAAGGGAACGGGCUUGGCGCAAUCAGCGGGGAAAGAAGACCCUGUUGAGUUUGACUCUAGUCUGGCUUUGUGAAAUGGCGUAGGAGGUGUAGCCAAGUGGGAGCCCUGCGAUCUUGAAAAACCACUACUCUUGAUGUCAUUUUACUUACCCCGUUGGGUUGAAGCCACUCUGUGGUUCUAGCAUUGCAAUCAAUGCGGGAGACAGAGCCAGGUGGGGAGUUUGGCUGGGGCGGCACAUCUGUUAAAUGGUAACGCAGGUGUCCUAUGGCAAGCUCAAAGAGAACAGAAAUCUCUUGUCGACCAAAAGGGGAAAAGCUUGCUUGAUUUUGAUUCUCAGUACGAAUGCAAACUGUGAAAGCAUGGCCUAUCGAUCCUUUGCUUUUUACGAGUCUUAAACCAGAGGUGUCAGAAAAAUUACCACAGGGAUAACUGGCUUGUGGCAGCCAAGCGUUCAUAGCGACGUUGCUUUUUGAUCCUUCGAUGUCGGCUCUUCCUAUCAUUGUGAAGCAGAAUUCACCAAGUGUCGGAUUGUUCACCCGCCAAUAGGGAACGUGAGCUGGGUUUAGACCGUCGUGAGACAGGUUAGUUUUACCCUACUGAUGAACGAUGUCGCUACAGUAAUCCAACUUAGUACGAGAGGAACAGUUGGUUCAGAUCACUGGUAACUGCGAUUUCCUGACAAGGAAGUGUCGCGAAGCUACCAUCUGCUUGAUUAUGACUGAACGCCUCUAAGUCAGAAUCCAUGCUGGAACGCGACGUCCUCCAGUCGCCCAUGGAACCACUAACCGCAUUCCGCACCCCGUCCUCUUAACCCCCGCAACGGAGGAGCGGAGAACGGGCUCCACCACAGGCGACUGGGACAAAUCCUUUGUAGACCACUUACAUGGAAAGAGGGAUUGUACGUACGAGAGUAAGCUUGUCUUACGAUCUACUGAGAUCCAGCCUCCUUCCUCCGAUUUGUCC
rnacentral:rRNA from 1 species